CUCAAAUUGUAACAUACCCAUUCAUAUGAUACAACUUUUUGCGAAUGUCUGACUUCUUUAAAUUGCGAAUUGGCCACAAUUUUAUUUUAGCAUUCGCAAAGCUACAGAAUCGUUUUCAUCUUAACUUCUUCAGGUAUCAGGUCCACUCGACAACAAGGCUGGGGAGAAUCUUGUAGGAAAUGCUAUAUUUCGCUGGCAGAGGAAAUGGUGAAGGGUGGGAAGCUAAUCUUCUCAUUUGAUGCAACAAAGAAAGUUUGCUUUGGUGUACUCCCACGAUAUGCAAAAGAUGAGCUUCAAAUCAGAUGGUUUGAGCUCCCAAAUUGCUUUAUCUUCCAUAAUGGUGUUUUCUUUUUUUCCUUUAAUAGACCAACAACAAUGCCUUGGGAAACAUUUCAAGCUUACUAUGCCUGAUGUGCAUUUUGCAUCAUAAUCCUAUAUGUCAUAUCAAGCAGGGUUAAUUGGCCUGGGCACUGAAGGGUCCUAGAUGUGCGUUUGUGUUUCUAGUCCUUUGUAACAUGCUCCCAUUCUUCAAUCUUGAUCAUUAGUGGGGAGACUUUUCUUUUUCACUCAGUUACCAAUUAACUUCAAUUUCUAUAGUUAUUUAUAUUCUUAGGUGGGAAGCGCCUUGUUCAUGUGGGUCUAGGAGAUGAUGAUCAAUGCAUUGAGGAGGGAGCUUCACAUGCCAUCUCCGCAAAGCUAUAAUUUAAAGUGUUAGCCUUUACUAUAGCUUAUUUUGUAAAUUUGAUUUUGCAAUGAAACAUCUUCAAGCACAUUAUUUUCUCAUGUUUUUCUUUGGAUUAAUCUCCAUUUUGAUGGAGUGUAAUAAACUUCUGUUAAUUUAUUUCCCUUGAUCUUAAAUUUCGAGUGUUUAUC